UACUAAGACUGCGUUGACCCUGAUUUUUCAGCUGAGGUCUAACAGCAGUUCAAUUGGGAAAAAAGUAAGACCUAUAGCUGACUCCCCCCCACCCCACACACACACUUACCAAAAAUCAAAUCCCCAAGUCGCUGGCCCAGGGCUAGUAGGCGUCCAGCCCAGCCCACAGUCCAGGUUCAAGUCCCAUACUGACCACUGGGGGUCACCACUGGCGCACAGACCUGGUGGAGCUGCCAGGGUGUGCCCGGCUUGAGGGCAGGCCUAGGAGGAGGGCACAGUGGAUUUAUGGAACCAGAAUCUCCUCUCCCCCACCUCCACAGGAGACAGGUUUCUCUCCCCUUUGGGGGAGAGGGUGCCUCAUAAGAUGGGGGCCCAGUCUCCCAGGAUUUUCACAGGCGCCUCUCUGAUGAAUAUCCAUCAAGUCCUGUUGACCUUGGAGCCAGGACGAGAGGAAGGAGCCAAGUCUUCUUUCCAAAGAUCAGGCUGUGUGACAACUGAGAACUAGCCCUGGAGCCUUUCUGAGAAUUCCCAGUACAGUUACUCGAAUGUUCCUUCUGCUCAGCUUUGCUAAAGAGACUUCACCUCUGAGGCCAUAAGAUCACCGGGGGUUGUGUGUGCGAGGAAGAAAGAUGGAUUCCUGUAACUGGCACUGGGGAAUCAGCCAGAGAAAAAGACGAAGGAGGAGGCUGCCUGUCAGAGAGGACGCCCAGGGCAGUCAAACGACCAGCGGGUCUCCCUCAUCUCCUGGACCCCAGGCUAGGCCUUUAUCUGCUGUCUUCGUGCCUCUGGGGCUCCAAGGCCAGAGCUCAGCCAGACCUGGCCUCCUCCCGCCUCUGCCGGCCUCCGCCAGGGUCUGCAGAGCUGCCUGCACCGCCGACCAAGCACGGGUACCGCACGCGUACCGCGCAGCACCCGGGAGGAACCAAAAAAAGCCGGCGCGUGGUGUGUGCGCGCUCGGGCGAGCGGUGCGGGGAAGAGGGGCGGGCCCGGCGCUGCUGUUUUUAGUGAGCCUGGAGCCCAGAAUAUAGACUUCAUCACCCCCAGGAAACGCGGCCAUCAUAUUUUUGGUUGCAUAAGCAAACGAAAUUAGAAAUCUGGAACGCGUUCAAGACCUUUGGAUGCGAGCGCUCGGCGCGCGCGGGCGACCAAGGGAGAGGCAGAUGGCGAUUAGGCGAGUUGAGCAUCAGGAGAAUAAUUUCCUCUUUUAAUUUGAGUUCCAUCGACAAAUAAAACAGCUUUAGAGGCCCAGUUACGUAAUUGGCGCCAGGGCUCGGCUCUGAUAAGCCGUGGCUCAGAGCCAGCCAGGGCCCUUCUGUCCCGUCUCCCCUCCUCCCCUGCCAGCCUGUCCCAGCGGGAGGCCUGGGGCGGGAGGUACUGCGGGCGCCCGCACCGCCCUGCACCGCUCUGCCGCCGCCGGGCUCUGUGACAGCUAAACCCUGCUAUCCUCAGGCCUGCUCUGCACAAUCUGAGCUCUAGGGAGCUGGCCCAGGCCAUACAGCUUGCAAAUCUGACAGCUUUGCAGCCCGAUUUAAAAGAGGCUCAGGCUGGACGCAAACCUGCAACACUGGAAGCCACCAGAAUGUUGGGACAGUGUGAAGAAGCUCGGGAGCGUCCAUGCCAGGGUGUAUUCUACAGCAGACAAAAAGGAUAGAGGGCUGGGCACUGCUGGCUCGUAUCUGUAACCCUAGCUAUUCCAGAGGCUGAGAU